AUUCUGGGAGUCGCAGUUCGUCCGGGGCAACUUCUGCCUCUCAGGCUGGUUGCAGCCGGCGCCCCGGGCCAGCGCAGCCUGGGCCCCAGCCAUCCUGCCCCCUCUCCGGCCGGGAGAAGCGGGCGCUGGGCUCUGGGGCUCCCUGAGCCCGCGGAGGCCAGCGCCCAGGGCGCACAAGAAGAGCAGGGGUGGAAGAAGAAAGGAAUUUCAAGGAGGGCAUUGCUUAAAGGGACGUUUGGACAGAGCCAGUUUCGGUGCUGGGCCGCAGCUCAGUGCCUAAUUUUAAUCUCAGGACUGCAGCCUGCGACCCGUGGACGGUCUCCUCAAACUUCUUCCCUCACACCCGAGUCUCUUCCUCCCUAGGAGUCUCCUGGUGCAUGGAACUGACCUGAAACUGGGGUUCCCCAAAGCCUCUGCCUGCCUUCUGCAGCUGAGCUGCUUCAGCCUCUGUGGGACACCCAUUUGAAGGAACCUGUCCAAAUCCAUGUAAGCUGAGACUUCCUCCUCUGCCAGACACCUGUUCCAAGGAAGCUCCUGCAACUAGGGUGUGGGCUUGUGUCGUGAAGGUUGAGUAUCCAGGGUGACAGUGAAGAAUCCAUACUCCCACCCAAGAGUGGAUUUCAGUGCUGAGAGGAAGAGGAGGAAGACAUCUUGCUGGCUUGUGCCCCAGGUCUGUGCAGACCAGAGUUUUGCUGUGGGAGGCAGAGGAAGGGCUGAGAGUUGUUAUUAGAGCACAUGUCCACCAGAGGGCACCAGAGCCCCCCAUCGCCUCUCUGCAGCUCCCUGUUUGUAUCUCCAGGCUCAGAAGGGGUUGGAAGAGGGACGCAUGGAACCUCAGGGAGGGGCCCAGAGCCAGGUGUUGGUUUGCAUGGUGCCUCUGACACUGUGGCCCCAUUUGCCUCAAUGCAGGGAGGGGACAGAUUUCUGCCAUUAAAUAUCUAAUUCAGUUCCUAUCUGGCCGGGUGGCCCCAAGUUUAGGGAGUUUGAUAGGCUAUCGGUCUGUGUGUCCUUUACUUGUUUGGAAGCAGAACUCUGGACCCAGAAACACCUGGCUUCAAUGGUGGAUGUUCAGUUUUCUAGAAUCAGCCUGGUGGGGAGUUCGGCUUCUGGAAAGCUGGGCUUCAGUGAUGAAUGGGGUGUGUCUGUGCUGUUGUAUUUUGGGGGUGUGUGGGCUAUGCACACGGCUGGGCUCUUUUACUCCAGAGAUGCCCACAACUCAUAUUCCCGCUGCCCCUGAGCCACUUCCACCUCUGCGUGACACCCGUUUGAAGGAAGCUCUCUCCAUCCAUGUAAGGUGAAUCACGACUGGGUUGUUUAGUGUUCCAAGGUGAGCCUGGGAUAGGUAGGCUGCUCAUUCAAAGCCUGCUGUCCUGACUUAAAUAGGAGGGUGCUGAUUUUAGGGAGUGGAUAAAUGUGGGCGGGGUGAGGGGCCUGGCUGACAGUGAGACAGUCCCUCCCCACCCAUCAUGCAUCUGAGUGUGCUGAGAGGGAGAGCAGUAAGGAAGCCACCUGACAGCUGCCCCAGGCCUGGGCAGAGCGGGUUCCUCUGUGGGAGGCAGAGGAAAGGCUGAGACUUGCUGUGAGGGCCUCUGUCCACCAGCCUGAGCCGGAGCAAUAGCAGAGCUUCCUCUGACCCCCACCUACUCUCACCACCGUGACCACAUCACCAGGCUCAGAUUCAGGGUGCAAAAGGCUUGCCGGAGGCCCAAGGAGGUACACAGACCUUUGCACUUGGGUACUUGGUGACUCUUAUGCUGUGGCCUCAGUUGGGGUGAGAGCCCUGGGUGCCUCGACUCAGAGAAAGAUUAAGGUUCUUCCCCCACAUUUCAGGUUCAAUCUGUGCAUGAUCAGGUGGCCCAAUGGCUGGAGAGUUUGACAGGCGGCCUCAGGUCUGAGUGCCCUUUGCUAGUUUGAAGAACAUCACUGGACCCAGAAAUCCCUGAUUUAAAUCUUGUAUAUACAGUGCUGUAAACCAGCCUGGGGUGAUAUUCGGCUUCUGGAAAGCUGGCUUUUGGUCAUGAAUGCAGUGCAUCCAGGAGGUGGUGUUGCAGUGGGCGGGUCUCAGCCUCUCCCUGUGCCUUUCUCUCUCUCUCUCUCUCUAGAGAUCUCCACCUCCUCCUUCUUCCUGCUCCACCUGAGCCUCUUCCUCCUCUGCCGGGGAGCCUAUGCCCAGGAACCUACCUCCAUCCAGGGAACAUGAAUGAUGCCUGGGAGGUCCUGGGUCUCAAGCUGGGUUCAGGGCCGAUGGGUGCUCUUUGAUGGCCAGCUGCUUCUGUUAACUUAUCCAGUGAGGUGUCUGAUUUCAGGGAGUGGGGUGGUCUCAGUUGGGGUGAGGGCCCUGGGUGACUUUGAGAUAGUCCCACCCCACCCAUCAUGCCUUUCAGUGCACUGUGAGGGAGAAAACUUAGGAAAUCAGGCUGGCAAGAGGCCCAGGCCAGUGUAGCCAGGGUUUUGAUCUGGGAGGCCAAGGAAGGGCUGAGAGUUGCUGUUAGAGAAGAUGGCCACCAGAUGGCACCAGAGCACCAGAGUGCCCCCCUCUUGCCCCUGGAGCUAUGCGCCUUCACCUUCAAGACUUGAGAUGGGUCCUUGGUCCAGUGGGCCAAUGGCUAGAGAGUUCGACAGGCUAACUUGGUCAGAGUCCCCUUGAUGGUUUGGAGGCACAACCCUGGACCUAGAAAUACCUGGCCUGGAUUUUAGCCCUAAAACUUGCUAGAGUCAGGCUGGUCCAUGUAGAAUUGUACCCCUAGAAAGGUGGCCUUCCGGUUGUGAAUGCACUGUGUCAGUACAGGGGUUUCUCUAGAGAGAGAUCUCCUCAAGCUUUUUCUUCCCUCCCACUUGAUGCUCUCCCUCCUCGGCCAGACACCUGCUGCAGGGAAGCUACCUCAAGCCAGGUAACUUUUAUAAAGGCUGGAUGGUCCUUGGGUCCCAGAGUUCAGUGGUGCUGAUUGAUUAGGGGCCUGUUCACGUACGUUACAAUGUGGGGUCACUGAUUUCAGGGUGUGGCUUGAGUCCUGGCUGAGUCUAAGAUUGUCAUGCUCUAGCCCGUCGUGUGUUGCUGUAUGCCGAGAUGGAGGGCAGCAAGGAAGCCACCACGGACACUGCCCCAGGCCACUGCAGCGCAGCCGUUUGCUGUUGGAGGCUGAGUCAGUGUCCGAGUUGCUGUUAGAGCACAUUCUGGUCAAAGAGCACUAGGAACCCAAGGGGCCUCCUCUCCUUCAGGCUGAAAUACCUGGCUGCUGCUGGGGUGGGGGGACCCCAUGGCAGUGCUCAGUGCUGAGCUGUGGCUACUGGGCACCUCUUCUCAUCUGGCCAUUUUUUUUUCACCUCAUCGUGUCCACAUAAACCUGUGAUCACAUCUUUAUUUCAAAUUCAGCAUGCUUCUCUGGGAAAAUGGCCAGAAACUUGGCAGACUCUCUGGGCUCCGUGUGAGGGGACAGGCACAUCCCUGGCUUGAAUCCCGAAUGGGCAGUUUUCUGAAACCAGGCUGACAUCCCCUCCUCUCCUGCUGUGUUGUUCAGUUCUCUGAGAGGAAGAGGACGAUGACACUGGUCCAUGCCCAAGACCAGCGCUUAAAACGACAAGCCCAAUGUUUAACACGGUUGUUUCUGGGCCCAAAGGUCUGCCUCUGGAGAAACAGGGCAAGCUGGCCCAUGGAACAUGUCACACUCUUGCAACCGGGGCACCUGAUCAGGCUGGAUGUGCCCAUCAGAUGCUGAAGGCACAGCUGCGUCCCUGCCCUGAGGUGAGUCCAUUUGGCCAGAGCAGGAGCGGUGCCCUGUCUCCAACCCAAAUCCAUAAGCAUGUUCUGAGUGUUCCAACUCUUUCUUCAACUCCAUCCCUGAGCCCGGAGUCUCAGCCAGGCGUCUGCCAGGGGCUCUGCCUGGGCUGGGGUUCAGCCUGGUGACCUUCAGUCUAACACCACCUCUCAGCCCUUCCUCCUGUUUCUCAGGAGCCCUAGAAGCUACCCUGGCCUGGGGCCCGGGAAGCUCCAUUUUGUUUCUCCUCAGCUGGGGAGCUGAACGAAUGCCCUCGACACUGGGGUCUUUCUCUCUCAGUCCCCCAGAGCCCUCACCCCAACUUACCCCGCCUCAGUACAUAAAAACCUCUGCAUCU
rnacentral:lncRNA from 1 species